GGGUUGUGAGGUUAAGCGACUAAGCGUACACGGUGGAUGCCCUGGCAGUCAGAGGCGAUGAAGGACGUGCUAAUCUGCGAUAAGCGUCGGUAAGGUGAUAUGAACCGUUAUAACCGGCGAUUUCCGAAUGGGGAAACCCAGUGUGAUUCGUCACACUAUCAUUACGUGAAUACAUAGCGUAAUGAAGCGAACCGGGGGAACUGAAACAUCUAAGUACCCC
rnacentral:rRNA from 1 species